rnacentral:rRNA from 1 species
GACGAACGCUGGCGGUGUGCUUAACACAUGCAAGUCGAACGGAAAGGCCUUCUUCUGGGGUACUCGAGUGGCGAGCGGGUGAGUAACACUUGAGUAACCCACCCAUGACCUUGGGAAAACUCCAGGAAACUAGGGCUAAUACCGGGUCGGAGCACCUGCUGUGUGGUAGGGGUGGGAAAGUUUCGGCGGUUUGGGGAGGACUCGCGGCUUAUCAGCUGGUUAGUGGGUUAGGGACUCAACAAGGCGUUGAUGGGUGAACCGCCUGAGAGGGUGAUCGGCCGCAUUGGGACUGAGAUACGGCGCAGAGUCCUCCGGGAGGCAGCGGUGGGGAGUAUUGCGCAAUGGGCGGAAGCCUGAUGCAGCGACGCCGCGUGUGGGAUAAGGGCCGUCGGGUUGUAAACCGCUUUCGCCUGUGACGAAGCGUGAGUGACAGUAAUGGGUAAAGAAGCACCGGCUAACUACGUG